rnacentral:tRNA from 1 species
GCGGUGGGUUGCUCGGGCGUUGGGUCGGUCCGAGCUUGCGGUGCGGGCGCGGCUGGUUCUUGAGGACCCGGUGCGAGGCCGGCUGGUGUUC